rnacentral:rRNA from 1 species
GAUGAACGCUAGCGGCAGGCCUAAUACAUGCAAGUCGAACGGUGUCUUCGGACAUAGUGGCGCACGGGUGCGUAACACGUAUGCAACCUACCUUACAUUGGGGGAUAGCCUUUCGAAAGGGAGAUUAAUACCGCGUAAGACAGUAGCUGGGCAUCCAGCAGCUGUUAAAGAUUUAUCGAUGUAAGCUGGGCAUGCGUCCAAUUAGCUAGUUGGUGAGGUAACGGCUCACCAAGGCAAUGAUUGGUAGGGGAACUGAGAGGUCAAUCCCCCACACUGGCACUGAGAUACGGGCCAGACUCCUACGGGAGGCAGCAGUAGGGAAUAUUGGGCAAUGGACGCAAGUCUGACCCAGCCAUGCCGCGUGCAGGAUGAAGGCGUUAUGCGUUGUAAACUGCUUUUAUACAGGAAGAAACGACUCUUGCGAGAGGCAUUGACGGUACUGUAUGAAUAAGCACCGGCUAGCUCCGUGCCAGCAGCCGCCGUAACAC